rnacentral:rRNA from 1 species
CAGCAGCCGCGGGAAUACGUAGGGUGCGAGCGUUGUCCGGAAUUACUGGGCGUAAAGAGCUCGUAGGCGGUUUGUCGCGUCGUCUGUGAAAUUCUGCAGCUUAACUGUAGGCGUGCAGGCGAUACGGGCAGACUUGAGUACUACAGGGGAGACUGGAAUUCCUGGUGUAGCGGUGAAAUGCGCAGAUAUCAGGAGGAACACCGGUGGCGAAGGCGGGUCUCUGGGUAGUAACUGACGCUGAGGAGCGAAAGCGUGGGUAGCGAACAGGAUUAGAUACCCCAGUAGUCCCUGUCUCUUAUAC